UACGUAGGGUCCGAGCGUUGUCCGGAGUUACUGGGCGUAAAGCGCGCGCAGGUGGUUCCCUAAGCCCGGCGUGAAAGCCCCCGGCCUCAACCGGGGAGGGUCGUCGGGGGACUGGUGAACUUGAGGGCGGCAGGGGCUGGUGGAAUCCCCGGUGUAGUGGUGAAAUGCGUAGAGAUCGGGGGGAACACCCGGUGGCGAAGGCGGCCAGCUGGGCCGACCCUGACACUGAGGCGCGAAGGCGUGGGGAGCGAACGGG
rnacentral:rRNA from 1 species